UACAGAGGGGGCGAGCGUUAUUCGGAAUUAUUGGGCGUAAAGGGCGCGUAGGCGGCCUUGUAAGUCUUGGGUGAAAUCCCUCAGCUCAACUGAGGAACUGCCUCGGAUACUGCAGGGCUUGAGGCCGGGAGAGGGUAGUGGAAUUCCCAGUGUAGCGGUGAAAUGCGUAGAUAUUGGGAGGAACACCGGUGGCGAAGGCGGCUACCUGGACCGGUUCUGACGCUGAUGAGCGAAAGCGUGGGGAGCAAACAGG
rnacentral:rRNA from 1 species